rnacentral:lncRNA from 1 species
CAGUGAGUGGAAUGAGGUGGGGGAGUGAGAGGAGAGAGUAGGAGCAGAGAUGGGAAGCCUGGCCAGUGGAGGCAUCCCAGGCCUGCUCUGAGGAGGUGCCAUAGCCCUGAGAGACCGAGGUCAGUGACCUAACACAGCAGACAGCUGAGCUCACAGGCCUCCGCGACCCGGAGGAGGAACCUCAAGGAGGAACCGGACCCCUCCUCGCAGAGCUGCUACCGCCACACAGAAGGGGCCCAUUCUGCUUACAGGUUUGCUUCCCAGCCUGCUUCAAAUCCCAUUGAGGCCCAAAGCCCCCUCACUGGACCUGCCGGUUUUAGGAUGCAUAUGUUUUUCCCCUUCCAAGCUCUUUUGUUGCAUUGUGUAUCACUUUCCUUACCUAGAUACAAGGCUGUCUCCAUGAUGGGAGACCUUCCUUUCUAGAAUUUCCAGGAAGUUCGGUUGCCUCCCACAUGUUCAAUUUCAUGUAAUUCAAACUGAAGUCUGAGACUCUUUUUCCUAAUUCAGGAAAAGUUGUGAGCUUGGCAACCCAAAUGGAAAGACUUUUUUUUUUUAAUGGUAGUGGAUUUGGGGGGUGUUUUUCUCAUUUUGGUUGUGUGCGUAUGUUUCAUAAAGUGCAUCGGAGAAUUAAACUCAAAAAGCAACUGCUUGGAGA